CCACAUUUGACUACAUUUUAAAAACACACUGGAAACACUGCAUAUAAACGUUAACUACAUUUACACACAUUUGACUACAUUUUAAAAACACACUGGAAACACUGCAUAUAAACGUUAACUAUAUUUACCCACAUUUGACUACAUUUUAAAAAUACACUAGAAACACUGCAUAUAAACGUUAACUACAUUUACCCACAUUUGACUACAUUUUAAAAACACACUGGAAACACUGCCACAGCUACUAUUUUUUU
rnacentral:lncRNA from 1 species